GGGAUCCAGUGGUGCUCCCUCUUCAGCUCCCUCUUCAGCUCCCUCGCGUGCCGCGUACUGAUACCAGAGCUGGAAGAUAAUGUCAUCUUCCGGCUCUGUAUCAGUGCAGUGCGCGAGGGAGCUGAAGAGGGAGCACACUGGGGAGAGUGCUCCCUCGCGUGC